rnacentral:tRNA from 1 species
CUUAUUUUGGCAGAUUUAAGUGCGCUAGAUUUAGGAUCUAGAAAUAUAGAAGGAUUUUCUAUAAAUAAGA